UAAGGGCGCACGGUGGAUGCCUUGGCACUAGGAGCCGAUGAAGGACGGGACUAACACCGAUAUGCUUUGGGGAGCUGUACGUAAGCUAUGAUCCAGAGAUUUCCGAAUGGGGGAACCCAACAUCUUUAAUAGGAUGUUACGAUUGUGUGAAUACAUAGCACAUUCGAGGUAGACGCAGAGAACUGAAACAUCUAAGUACCUGCAGGAAGAGAAAGAAAAUUCGAUUCCCUGAGUAGCGGCGAGCGAAACGGGAAAAGCCCAAACCAGCAAGCUUGCUUGUUGGGGUUGUAGGACUCCAAUAUGGUAGUUCUUUCAGAUAGUCGAAUGACUUGGAAAAGUCAGUCAAAGAGGGUAAAAACCCCGUAGACGAAAUGUGGAAGACACCUAGGAGGAUCCUGAGUACGGCGGAACACGAGAAAUUCCGUCGGAAUCCGGGAGGACCAUCUCCCAAGGCUAAAUACUCCCUAGUGACCGAUAGUGAACCAGUACCGUGAGGGAAAGGUGAAAAGCACCCCGGAAGGGGAGUGAAAUAGAACCUGAAACCGUGUGCCUACAACAAGUCAAAGCCCGUUAAUGGGUGAUGGCGUGCCUUUUGUAGAAUGAACCGGCGAGUUACGAUUGCAUGCGAGGUUAAGUUGAAGAGACGGAGCCGCAGCGAAAGCGAGUCUGAAUAGGGCGUUUGAGUAUGUAGUCGUAGACCCGAAACCAUGUGAUCUACCCAUGUCCAGGUUGAAGGUGCGGUAAAACGCACUGGAGGACCGAACCCACGUACGUUGAAAAGUGCGGGGAUGAGGUGUGGGUAGCGGAGAAAUUCCAAACGAACUUGGAGAUAGCUGGUUCUCUCCGAAAUAGCUUUAGGGCUAGCCUCGGAAUUGAGAAUGAUG
rnacentral:rRNA from 1 species